CCUACGGGAGGCAGCAGUGGGGAAUAUUGGACAAUGGGCGCAAGCCUGAUCCAGCCAUGCCGCGUGAGUGAUGAAGGCCUUAGGGUUGUAAAGCUCUUUCGCCAGGGACGAUAAUGACGGUACCUGGAUGAGAAGCCCCGGCUAACUUCGUGCCAGCAGCCUCGGUAAU
rnacentral:rRNA from 1 species